AGAAAACACUGGUCAUAAGAGAGCUGCCCGUGUUUACAAAUUGAAUGGAUGGACGUGGUCGUAUCUCAUCAGUCAGAUUAGAGUGCAGGAUAGAAUGUUCUACUCAGAGAAGUGUGUGGACAAAAGAUUUUGGAAGUGCAACAAGUCAGUUCAGUAUGUGCUCAAGCCCUUGACAAGACCUGGACGCAUGACUCAAGAACAAAAUGGUCAAAGUACGUGAAGUGGAGACUCACAGAAGGGGAAAUCUGAACAAAUAAAAACACACGGCAAGGCACUUUGGACUCCAAGUGAGGACAAACAGAUAAGAAGGCAUCCUGCUGUACGAGACAGGAAUUUGGAGUGCGAGACAAGAGAUGUGCACCUUUCUUUCAUCUUUAUCACAGCUGGUGGAAUAAUCUUCGCCUGCCGUAUGUCCUCUUUUUGGACAUAUCUGCUGCCGCACAGACAGAGCGUCAGGAGGUCCACGUGGCUGGGAAUUUCUAGGCAUUCGGCCUAGGAGUAUGAAGAAAGCAAUGACCGGAAGCUGGAUUUGAGGCACCAUAAGGAAGGCGUUUCUUACAAAAUCAUGAUCUUGGAUGCAGAUUGUAGUGGAUUGCAUUGAUGGCUCCAGUUCUUCCCUGUAACCACAUUCUUUGCCAUGUGACUGUGAAGUUCUACCCUCGGAAAAGGUGGCGGUGUAUUUCCCCACUCUUCACCUUGUUUUGGCUACAUGUCUUGCUUUGGCCAACAGAAGGAAGUUGAAGGUCUACCAUUUCCAAGCCUGGGGCCAAAGAAGCCUUGUAUUAUUCUGUUCUGCCUCCUUGUACCUCUGUCAUUGCCAUGAGAAGAAAAUGCCAGGACUCCUCCUUGGGUCUCAGAAAGAGAACGAGAGGCACCUGACACAGAACUCCCUACCCAAGUCAACUCUUUGUCAGCUGACCCCCAGCGAACACACAAGUUCAUGAGCUCAAUAAACGCUAUUGUUAUGUA